UACGUAGGACGCAAACGUUGUCCGGAUUUACUGGGUGUAAAGGGUGCUCAGGCGGUCUUGUAAGUCAAUGGUGAAAUCUCCCGACUUAAUCGGGAAACUGCCUUUGAUACUGUAAGGCUUGAGUGCAGAAGAGGCGGAUGGAAUUUCUGGUGUAGCAGUGAAAUGCGUAGAUAUCAGAAAGAACACCAGUGGCGAAGGCGGUCCGCUGGUCUGUCACUGACGCUAAAGCACGAAAGCGUGGGGAGCAAACAGG
rnacentral:rRNA from 1 species